rnacentral:rRNA from 1 species
UACGUAGGGGGCAAGCGUUGUCCGGAAUCAUUGGGCGUAAAGCGCGCGCAGGCGGUUUCUUAAGUCUGAUGUGAAAGCCCACGGCUCAACCGUGGAGGGUCAUUGGAAACUGGGGAACUUGAGUGCAGAAGAGAAAAGCGGAAUUCCACGUGUAGCGGUGAAAUGCGUAGAGAUGUGGAGGAACACCAGUGGCGAAGGCGGCUUUUUGGUCUGUAACUGACGCUGAGGCGCGAAAGCGUGGGGAGCAAACAGG